rnacentral:sRNA from 12 species
GGAUAAUCCCGGGCGACCGGGGAAAGGUCGGCGACAGCUGGUGUCGCCCUCCCCUGCGACGCGGCGCAAGCCAAUGUGGCAGGCAGAUAUCACCAGCUCCUCUGAUCCGGAGUCGUGUCCGAUCAGUUCACACGAACCAGGAGCUGAGCGGUGAGCGGCGAUGAGAAACCGCCCGCGAGCCGAGUUACGCCCACAGGGAGUUUCGACCUGUGCGCGGACGCAGUUACCCAGAGGGUUUUGGUUGCUACUGCGCAAGACCAGAACGCAGUCGCGUUUCCCGGCGGGACGACCCCGCCAGAAGGCCCCGCUCGCUCGCACGAGCAGGGCGCGCAAGGGAGACUCGGUUGCGGGGAGAGAGCGAGCCUGGCAAAGCCCGCGAACCUCCUCGAUUGGGGCGGCCCGAAAAACGCGUCACCCCACUGCAAAAGCGAAUGCAACCUGAGAGGUAAGAGGUCAGACCCGUAACGCGGGGCCAACGUCCGGCCAAAAGCCGGAGCCGACCCCGUGGCAACGGUGCCGACGCGAGAGACAGAGAUUGCAGGCGUGUCCGCACCCCGUCCGGCGUGCCGCUUCCGGCAGGAAGCGUCCGAACCGGGCGAAGAGGCCUCACUCGAAAGAUUCCAACCGGAAACGGUCGGAACGGUCCCGCCAUGAGACCGAGACAUCCGCAUGCCGCGGAGAGUGGCGUCGGGAAGCACACGGCCCGCGAAAGCGAGAGCGCCCAACGGUGUGCACCGGGAAAGAGCGCGUGGCGAACGCC